UACGUAGGGGGCUAGCGUUGUCCGGAAUCAUUGGGCGUAAAGCGCGUGUAGGCGGUCCGGUAAGUCCGCUGUGAAAGUCGAGGGCUCAACCCUCGAAUGCCGGUGGAUACUGUCGGGCUUGAGUACGGGAGAGGCGAGUGGAAUUCCUGGUGUAGCGGUGAAUGCGCAGAUAUCAGGAGGAACACCGAUUGCGAAGGCAGCUCGCUGGAACGUUACUGACGCUGAGACGCGAAAGCGUGGGAGCAAACAGG
rnacentral:rRNA from 1 species